rnacentral:rRNA from 1 species
AACGAGCGCUGGCGGCAUGCCUAACACAUGCAAGUCGAACGAGACCUUCGGGUCUAGUGGCGCACGGGUGCGUAACGCGUGGGAACCUGCCCUUAGGUUCGGAAUAACUCCCCGAAAGGGGUGCUAAUACCGGAUAAUGUCUUCGGACCAAAGAUUUAUCGCCUUUGGAUGGGCCCGCGUUGGAUUAGCUAGUUGGUAGGGUAAAAGCCUACCAAGGCGACGAUCCAUAGCUGGUCUGAGAGGAUGAUCAGCCACACUGGGACUGAGACACGGCCCAGACUCCUACGGGAGGCAGCAGUGGGGAAUACUGGACAAUGGGCGAAAGCCUGAUCCAGCAAUGCCGCGUGAGUGAUGAAGGCCUUAGGGUUGUAAAGCUCUUUUACCCGGGAUGAUAAUGACAGUACCGGGAGAAUAAGCUCCGGCUAACUCCGUG